rnacentral:rRNA from 1 species
GAUGAACGCUGGCGGCGUGCCUAACACAUGCAAGUCGAGCGAAGCGGGGACGGGUGAGUAACACGUGGAUAACCCCCUAUAUGAAGGGGAUAACUUCCGGAAACCGGAGCUAAACCGGAUAAUUAUAGAUGGUUCCGCGUGGCAUUAGCUGGUUGGUAAGGUAACGGCUUACAAAGGCAACGAUGCAUAGGCGACCUGAGAGGGUGAUCAGCCACACUGGAACUGAGACACGGUCCAGACUCCUACGGGAGGCAGCAGUAGGGAAUCUUCCGCAAUGGGCGAAAGCCUGACGGAGCAACGCCGCGUGAGUGAUGAAGGUCUUCGGAUCGUAAAGCUCUGUUAGUAGGGAAGCGGUACCUAAUCAGAAAGCCACGGCUAACUACGUGCCAGCAGCCGCGGUAAUUC